CGUGGCUUCCGGAGCUAACGCGUUAAGUCGACCGCCUGGGGAGUACGGCCGCAAGGUUAAAACUCAAAUGAAUUGACGGGGGCCCGCACAAGCGGUGGAGCAUGUGGUUUAAUUCGAUGCAACGCGAAGAACCUUACCUGGUCUUGACAUCCACGGAAGUUUUCAGAGAUGAGAAUGUGCCUUCGGGAACCGUGAGACAGGUGCUGCAUGGCUGUCGUCAGCUCGUGUUGUGAAAUGUUGGGUUAAGUCCCGCAACGAGCGCAACCCUUAUCCUUUGUUGCCAGCGGUCCGGCCGGGAACUCAAAGGAGACUGCCAGUGAUAAACUGGAGGAAGGUGGGGAUGACGUCAAGUCAUCAUGGCCCUUACGACCAGGGCUACACACGUGCUACAAUGGCGCAUACAAAGAGAAGCGACCUCGCGAGAGCAAGCGGACCUCAUAAAGUGCGUCGUAGUCCGGAUUGGAGUCUGCAACUCGACUCCAUGAAGUCGGAAUCGCUAGUAAUCGUGGAUCAGAAUGCCACGGUGAAUACGUUCCCGGGCCUUGUACACACCGCCCGUCACACCAUGGGAGUGGGUUGCAAAAGAAGUAGGUAGCUUAACCUUCGGGAGGGCGCUUACCACUUUGUGAUUCAUGACUGGGGUG
rnacentral:rRNA from 1 species